rnacentral:rRNA from 1 species
AUUGAACGCUGGCGGCAGGCUUAACACAUGCAAGUCGAACGGAGUGGCGGACGGGUGAGUAAUGCUUGGGAAUCUGGCUUAUGGAGGGGGAUAACGACGGGAAACUGUCGCUAAUACCGCAUACUAUCAGAUGAGCCUAGGUGGGAUUAGCUAGUUGGUGGGGUAAUGGCCUACCAAGGCGACGAUCCGUAACUGGUCUGAGAGGAUGAUCAGCAACACUGGAACUGAGACACGGUCCAGACUCCUACGGGAGGCAGCAGUGGGGAAUAUUGGACAAUGGGCGAAAGCCUGAUCCAGCCAUGCCGCGUGUGUGAAGAAGGUCUUCGGAUUGUAAAGCACUUUAAGUUGGGAGGCGUUACCAACAGAAUAAGCACCGGCUAACUUCGUGCCAGCCGCCGCGGUAAUAC